rnacentral:lncRNA from 1 species
UAUCACUAUCUCUUCUUGGAGGGCCUCGGAUGUGUCUGGCCACUUCCUGCCAGGGCCAUUCCCUGAUGCUGCCAACCUUUCCCAGAAAAGGAGUGGCUCCUAGAAAGACAAGGCCUACCGAGAAAUGCAGAGGGGCAGGAAGUGAGCCAUUUCGAGGGCACUCCUGUGUCACCCUGUGCUGUUGGAGUCGCCGAGGAUACAGUGUACAGGUAGCGGGAUAGCCGGUUGCCAGCACAGGCUGGGUUGAGAAACCUCCAAGCAUUGCUGCCUGCUACUUCUCUCCCCAAGCCCGGCGCUCAUUCCUCCACACAUGUAGUAGCCCUGUGUUCCUUUUCUCCCAACUAAAGGCAAUUCAAGAUAAAUAAAUAUGUUGAUCUUGCCUGGGGGGCUCAACUAGUACGUUUGUCAGCACUGGGACCGGGGUUUAACCAUGACUAGCUACUUCAUUUGUCACAGGGGUGUAUUUAUCUGUGUUUGGAAGAUUUAAUUUUUCCCCCACGAAGAACUGUAUAAAUAGGUCUAAUGAGCCUUGA